AGUUUUCUUCUUCUCCUAUAUGUCUUUCUAACUAAAAUAAAAUAGAAAAGAUUAGUUAUCUCCUCUGUUUCUGUUCCAUCUUCUCUAGCUCUGCUUCUCAAUUUAAAUUGAUGUUUCCUGUGAAAAACAAACAGUGGAGUUUGAAAGGUUCUCACCUUUUCAGCCACACAUACAGCCAUCAGGAAAAGCUUUUCAGAAUCUACUUCAAGGCUUGGGAAUUUGAAAUUCAGAAGCCACCAAUCUCCAAUGGAAAAUGUUUUAGAUUCUCAAACCUUACACGUUUUUGUAGCAACUUGGAAUGUAGGUGGAAAAUCCCCUCACAAUGACCUGAAUCUUGACAAUUUUCUUCAAGUGCAGGAUCCAUCAGACAUUUAUGUUUUAGGUUUUUAGGAAAUAGUACCCUUAAACGCUGGAAAUGUGCUAGUUAUAGAAGACAAUGAACCAGCAGCAAAAUGGCUAGCUCUCAUCAACCAGUCCCUGAAUAAAACUUCCAAAGAUUUGA